AUUAGACUACCCUGUAGUCCAGGGUGUAAACGCUGCAGACUUGGUGUUGGAAGCCCGUUUGGGGGCAUUCAGUGCCGGAGAGAAGUUGUUAAGUCUGCUACGUUGGGAGUACGUCCGCAAGGAUAGAAACUUAAAGGAAUUGGCGGGGAGCACCACAACGGGUGGAGCCUGCGGUUUAAUUGGACUCAACGCCGGAAAUCUCACCGGAUAGGACAGACAUAUGAUAGUCGGGCUGAAGACUCUACUUGAUGAUCUG
rnacentral:rRNA from 1 species